rnacentral:rRNA from 1 species
CCUACGGGAGGCAGCAGUGGGGAAUAUUGGGCAAUGGGCGCAAGCCUGACCCAGCAACGCCGCGUGAAGGAAGAAGGCUUUCGGGUUGUAAACUUCUUUUCUCAGGGACGAAGAAAGUGACGGUACCUGAGGAAUAAGCCACGGCUAACUACGUGCCAGGAGCCGCUGCAAUACGUAGGUGGCAAGCGUUAUCCGGAUUUAUUGGGUGUAAAGGGCGUGGAGGCGGGAGAGCAAGUCAGAUGUGAAAACUCAGGGCUCAACCCUGAGCCUGCAUUUGAAACUGUGUUUCUUGAGUGCUGGAGAGGCAAUCGGAAUUCGGGGUGUAGCGGUGAAAUGCGUAGAGAUACGGAGGAACACCAGUGGCGAAGGCGGAUUGCUGGACAGUAACUGACGCUGAGGCGCGAAAGCGUGGGGAGCAAACAGGAUUAGAUACCCUAGUAGUC